CUCAACGUUUCAUUAAUUCUGGUGCGGGCUUCGAUUUUCAUUUGGUAUAAUCGCGUGUUUGGGCUGAUGUCGUGGUGUGGUCCGUGAAGUAGAGUUCUUCUGUAACCCUAAUAACGCAGAGACAAUGAAUUGGUGCUCGUAUCUCCUAAUCGUGCGACGGCGACACGGUGACGUUUGUGCUUCUUCUCACCACCUAUCCAUUUCCAAUCAAACGUUAAGAUCAACUGGAAAGACACCAACAGAGACGUUCUUGAACGAUGUCGAUCUCGAUUUGGGACGAGCGGAGCUUCGAUUCUGGCUAAUUGAUUUGUUUGGAUUUUUUUGGGAAGCGAGGAACACGACGAAGGGGCAUUUUAAUUGGUUUAUAGCUCCUGUUUAUUGACGAACAGGUUAGAACUCUGUGUUGAUUAAUUUUACUGCUUUCAUUUGUUCCUAUUAACUAAUACCAUUCUGUGAAAGGCAACUGAGCGUGGACAAGAAUACAUUAUUAUUAUUUUCUUUGCAACAAAAAAAAAGAAAAUAAAAGGUUCUGCAACUCCGGUUGGUGAUUUUGGAAAUAUGAAGAAGUGCAAGCAAGAAGCUUUAUCAGACAUUUAAUCUGCUAGAAGACUAAACAUCGUUAGAUGCAUCUGAUGGUUAUAGACUAUGAGAAUUAUGGAAUACCUAAUGCCGAGUACCAUUCAAUUGUGAGGAGGUGGUAGAGAAGUCGAUUCCAUUCUCCAGGUGGUGUGCUGCUUUGAGGACAACGAUAAUUAUCAUGUCGGUGGCAAAAUAAAUCCCACGUCUGACCUUGAUUUCAUCAAUCUCGAACUCAUUUUCUGCGACUUGGAUCAGAUUUGUAAAAUACUCGGAACUUACGAAAUGCAAGGCAAGAGGAUUCACAAUCUAAAGUCAAAGAAAACUAUUGUCUGAAUGCCUUUGGUAUAAUAGUAGUGUGCUUUAUAGUGAUAUUGCAGUAGAUGUGUAGCUACGUAGUCUAGACAAGUAAAUUCAGAAAACACGAAGGAUCAGUUUAGCUUCAACAGAUAAUGGGAUUUGAUGUAUUUGAUUCACUAAAUGAAUGGAGUUAGAGCUUUACAAAAAAAAAUGUUUCUUUUAUUGCAUAUCUUUUGGCGAUUUUUGACCCGUUCAAACCAAUGUGUUAUAUAUGCACACAACUAUU